GAUGAACGCUGGCGGCGUGCCUAAUACAUGCAAGUCGAGCGAACAGACGAGGAGCUUGCUCCUCUGACGUUAGCGGCGGACGGGUGAGUAACACGUGGAUAACCUACCUAUAAGACUGGGAUAACUUCGGGAAACCGGAGCUAAUACCGGAUAAUAUAUUGAACCGCAUGGUUCAAUAGUGAAAGACGGUUUUGCUGUCACUUAUCGAUGGAUCCGCGCCGCAUUAGCUAGUUGGUAAGGUAACGGCUUACCAAGGCAACGAUGCGUAGCCGACCUGAGAGAGUGGUCGGCCACACUGGAGCUGAGACACGGUCCAGACUCCUACGGGAGGCAGCAGUAGGGAAUCUUCCGCAGUGGGCGAAAGCCUGACGGAGCAACGCCGCGUGAGUGAUGAAGGUCUUCGGAUCGUAAAACUCUGUUAUUAGGGAAGAACAAAUGUGUAAGUAACUAUGCACGUCUUGACGGUACCUAAUCAGAAAGCCACGGCUAACUACGUG
rnacentral:rRNA from 1 species